AGAGUUUGAUCAUGGCUCAGGACGAACGCUGGCGGCGUGCUUAACACAUGCAAGUCUAAGGAGAAAGUUUCCUUCGGGGAAUGAUUAAACUGGCGCACGGGUGAGUAACACGUAAGUAACCUACCCUUGGGUCCGGAAUAACUCCGAGAAAUCGGGGCUAAUACCGGAUGAUGCAGCGGCACCGCAUGGUGAUGUUGUUAAAGCCCUGCGUGGCGCCUAAGGAUGGGCUUGCGUCCGAUUAGCUAGUUGGUAGGGUAAAGGCCUACCAAGGCUACGAUCGGUAGCUGGUCUGAGAGGAUGAUCAGCCACACUGGAACUGAGACACGGUCCAGACUCCUACGGGAGGCAGCAGUGAGGAAUAUUGGGCAAUGCCCGAAAGGGUGACCCAGCAACGCCGCGUGGAGGAUGAAAGCCGUAAGGUUGUAAACUCCUGUUAGAGGGGACGAACAAUUCCGAUUGCCUCGGAACUUGACUGUACCCUCAGAGAAAGCCCCGGCUAACUACGUGCCAGCAGCCGCGGUAAUACGUAGGGGGCAAGCGUUGUCCGGAUUCACUGGGUGUAAAGGGCGCGCAGGCGGGUUGGCAAGUCAGAGGUGAAAUCCUACGGCUUAACUGUAGAACUGCCUUUGAUACUGCCAAUCUUGAGUACGGAAGAGAGAAGCGGAAUCCGGUGUAGUGGUGAAAUACGUAGAUAUCUGGAAGACACCAGUUGCGAAGGCGGCUUCUUGGUCCGUUACUGACGCUCAGGCGCGAAAGCGUGGGGAGCAAACAGGAUUAGAUACCCUAGUAGUCC
rnacentral:rRNA from 1 species